UGUACAGUAUAUGCUGUCCUUUUUCAUACUAUUACAGCAGUAUGCAAAGAGACAAAAUAAAAUAUUCUGGAGGAUAAAAAGCAGCUGCUGAAAAGAGCUCUUGCCAUAGAUAUUUUUGUUAUAACAUAUUACAAUACCAAGCGUUAUGUCAUUCUCAUGAUGUCUGAAAAUAAAACAUGAAAGAAAUUGACAGCUGAUUCAGUCAAGCUGACAGAUAAGCUUUAAUUGUAGGGCAACCAUAUGAUUUGAAACGAUAAGUUUCAGUUUUUUUGAAUGGAAGUUCACCAAACCGGAAGUGGAACCCGUAAUUUGAAACGCAGUAGGCUAGUCAGGAAUAAGGCUAGUCAAUAAUCCUCACACUUUAUGUUUUUGACCUCCCUGAGCUGUUGUUUGUGCCCCAAUCUUAUGCAACAAAAGCAUGCUUUUGCAGUGUGUUUUUAUAUUUGAAUUAACCCUAAUUAUCAAACUAAUAAUGUAAUAAUAUGUUGUCAGUGGCCUACAAAUGAACUGGCCUGAUUAGCUGCUUCAGAUGUAUUUGAGUAAGGGUUGGGAAUAAACUCUUAAGCACAGUGAGUCUGCAAUAAAAGGGUUAAAUAACUGAUCAAGGCUGUAAAACUCUCUCUGUCUCUCACUUUCACUCACACACACACACACACACACACACACACACACACACACACACACACACACACACACACACACACACACACACACACACACACACACACACACACACACACACACACACACACAGACACACACACACACACACACACACACACACACACACACACACACACACACACAGAGGGAGGGGGGAGGGGGACUGAGACCCUACGUCUAAGAGAGCUUAAGUGUGUGCGUAAGAAUGUUUGAAAAAUCCACAUUUAAACCAAAAUAUCUGACUUCCUGUUGGUCAGAGCUAAUGACUGUAAAUGAGAAAGUUGUCCAGUUUAAUGAGAACAAUAAGUGUACCGAGUUUGGUGACUGUAGGUUAAACAAAACCCCCCACUUUUGUCAAAAGGUGGCGCUGCAGAGCCCCUGCUCCCCGCCCGUUUCUAAGGCUUUGUCCAUAUCUACUGUAUGACAAUAAUGAUAUGUGUAUCGAGUUUCAUCCAAUUUGAAGCAUGUUAACGGCUUCAAAAACGCCCAAGAAUAUUAUAAAAGUUUGACGUGUUGCCAAGGCAACUAUGUUUGAGAUAUCACAAUUCUUUUCAAAAGUCUACAUCUGCCAUGUUUUGACAUUAUUGUGGUGAAAUUUGAAGCAAAUCGGAUAAAAAUAAGAUGGUGAUCUCAAAGCAUUUUGAAAGUGACACGCUUCCUGCUGCCAGUUGGUGGCAGUAUAACUUUGACUCACAAUAGUCACAUCCAUGUGAUCGGACUAUUACAACCAACACACUCGUGAA